rnacentral:rRNA from 1 species
UACGAAGGGGGCUAGCGUUGUUCGGAUUUACUGGGCGUAAAGCGCACGUAGGCGGCUUGUUAAGUCAGAGGUGAAAUCCCGGAGCUCAACUCCGGAACUGCCUUUGAUACUGGCAGGCUCGAGUGUAGGAGAGGUUGGUGGAACUGCGAGUGUAGAGGUGAAAUUCGUAGAUAUUCGCAAGAACACCAGUGGCGAAGGCGGCCAACUGGCCUACAACUGACGCUGAGGUGCGAAAGCGUGGGGAGCAAACAGG